GGACGCCUCCCGCUGUGAGACCCGAAUUAAGGCAUUACAGAAAGCCCCUGGGAUGGUCUCGGUGGCACUUCGGGCCAGGAAAAGGGGAGCGUGCACCAGUGACCUGCCCCGGGUCCCAGCCCCCUCCCGUGCCAGCAGACACUGCCGCCUUUGUGCCGGUGGCAGGGGGUGAGAUAGGGGGAACUGGGUUAUGAAAGGAGCCAAAGUCACCGCUGGGGUUUUGUUUCCGUGCGUGUCACCGGGUCCCUGGCGCGCAGGGUGAGGGCAAGCCCGCUAAAUCCCCCGCAAAGCCCCACCGUCGCUCCGCAAAGCCUCCCAAAUUAAAAACGGCGCGCACCCCGCCACCUCCACGAGCCCUCCCGCUGACCCGGGCUGCCCCCGGCUCAGCGGCUCAAGAGGCUGCAGCCAGGUCCCUCUGCCCCUUAUUAAAGGUUUCUCGGCGGAGGGGAGAAGACCUUCAUUGUCCCGGCUGCCGGGCAGAAGUGCUGAGCAUGGCCCUUUCCGGGGGGACGCCGAGUGCCCGCUCGCAAACACGCAGCCGCCUCCGGCCACGGGGCCAAAGGUAAAGGAGCUGCUCCUCGGCGAGGUGCUCCCGGGGGGAAAAGGGCCUGGCGGUGCCCACGUUUCCCCCUCCCCAAACCCCACAGAGAGUGUGUUUUACCGGGGGGAUGCCCCCCAGGCAGGCAGCCCCCGGCCCGGAGCCCCCCUGCCUCUCCUCGGGAGCUCCGCAGGGGCUUCUCGGGGCCGUUCCUGGGAUUUUGGGGAUGUUCACCGAGCCUGGGAGGGUUACAACAACGACCACCUUCCUGCUGAGCUGGCAGCUGCUCUCCAGCAAGUCCUUCACACCACACCACACCAAAAGCACCUGGCAGUGCCACGAAGCCCCUCUGAUCCUUCCCCAAACCCUCUGGGAUGUAAGCGCAGAGGGUUCGGGGCACUCCUCCUCCGAAGGCAGGCUCAGCGUGAGCCGCAGGAAGGCCGACCCGUGGUCAAGUCCCUGUCCCACUUUUAUUCACGUCCCC
rnacentral:lncRNA from 1 species